GGUGUAUUAGUGUAGCGGUUAACACGCUAGCCUGUCACGCUAGUAGCACGGGUUCGAUUCCCGUAUACACCGCCA
rnacentral:tRNA from 1 species